CUGAAAAGGUCUGCGGAUUUAGCCAAACAUUGCUUUUAGAACAGUGUUCUAAGAAUUUGAACCCUACAAGAUAUUUCUAAAUAGUCACCUUCUUAGAUGGAAAGUGAAUAGGACAGCAUGUGGCAGUAGAAGGUCCUAAUAAACAAGGGUUCCUUCAGUGCCGCGAUAAUAGCAUAGCAGCCAGACGCCUGAGCUGUUGAGUUAGUCUUACAUUUGAUAGCUGUUUAGAGACGUAUCAUCAAGUAUUUAGUAAUGUGGAGCAACAAAGACAACACGUAAAAUGCGCCAUAUAUCGAUGACUCUUCGGGGCGAAUCGAACCGUACGAGUCCCGCCUUAUCGGCAUUAACAACCGGACUAAAUGGUCUAAAAUUUUAAUGGUCUCUUCCGUAUGCUCAAGAGCAGCUCGCUAGUCGCCGAUAUCGCUAGUAGGCUGAAAGCGGAUAAGCGUAAAGGUGUACUCCAGAUUUGAAACAGGUUGAAACUCAACAAAGACGAUGAGCGUUACCUUUGACCGAGAACCUACUUUUAAGGUGUCCCAGUAUCUUACUCCUCGCACGCGGACUAAACACGUAACCUGUUGUUUUGCAAAGAAGUAUGCUGCCAGUCAAUCGAAUAUUUUCAGGAAGAUCGAGUGACUUACGCAGUUAAGGGCAGCCAUCACAUCCAGAAGCAUCAGAAAACAGAUCUGCUUAUUUUCAAUGGCGUAGGUGACCCCCUGCCUAUAGGAUACUAAUGCCAGCUUAGUCAAUCGAUACCUCCGAAAACCGAGUUGAAAAAACAGAGUGGAUACUAAGCUCAUUUGAGGAUUCUGGUGGUGAUAUCUUGAGUCGAGAACGAACACUGGACCUCUUGAAUAUUACGAUGUUAUCACAGAUUUACAUAGAACAACAUGUGAACACCGUUAAAAACGACGUUCAGACAUCCCAAAGAAAGAACCUCCCAAAAAUCCGUCUACGACGUCGAUAACGCUGAGAUGCUUGUUUGAUUUAAGUACUUACGGAUGCUUUGAUUAAAAAAGCGAUGUAUAAUAAACUACGUAGAAGCGUUCGUUAAUCACCAGAUUGAGAAGGGCUGAGGUAUCGGCGGUAACUUGAAAAAGAUGACACCCAUGCUCCAACAACAGCAGACUUCGAUCUUCGACAGCCUGCUCAGUUCCUCACACUUACGUUUGGUCACUCGGGUCUCUCCAUUGCUGCUUAUCUCGUAGUUCCCAGUUCAGGUCUAUAUACGGCUAACUGCCCUCUCACUUGCUGUGCCUAAUUUAACCAAGCAAACUGAAAUCAAGGACCUUCAUUGCUCUUCAGGCUGCCAGCUCAGUUCGCAGCAUAGAGGAAGCAGUGCCAUGUUUAGCCGAACGCUACUUCGACUGCUGCUUACGUUGAUACCUUUACGCCGAGCUAUGUGUCGGAGAGCGGAACUGGUAGACGUGACCCUUCAAACGGGAUGCCUUGUAUCGAAGAGACGGGUUAAUGAACUAAGAUACAGGCUUAUUUGUCUUGCAAACAUAAUAAGAGAAGGUAUGAAAUCGUUCAAAGUUCAUACCUUUGUGCUUAUUAGCCGUGAAAAAACUAUGGAACAACUGAAAUAAAAUGUUCUUUGAUAAAAUAUUUGUUGAAGAUACGCACGGCGCGCAUCCAUUA